GCAGAGUAGGAUCAUAGGUGUAAAAUAGUGCCGGAAAGACGGGGAGUUGCUUUCCGGACGAAAAUGCGAAAGCUGGCAGUUUAUGAUCCGCAUCCCGCUGC
rnacentral:ncRNA from 1 species